rnacentral:rRNA from 1 species
CAGCAGCCGCGGUAAUACGUAGGUGGCAAGCGUUGUCCGGAAUUAUUGGGCGUAAAGCGCGCGCAGGUGGUUUAAUAAGUCUGAUGUGAAGGCCCACGGCUCGACCGUGGAGGGUCAUUGGAAACUGUUAAACUUGAGUGCAGGAGAGAAAAGUGGAAUUCCUAGUGUAGCGGUGAAAUGCGUAGAGAUUAGGAGGAACACCAGUGGCGAAGGCGGCUUUUUGGCCUGUAACUGACACUGAGGCGCGAAAGCGUGGGGAGCAAACAGGAUUAGAUACCCGUGUAGUCCCUGUCUCUUAUAC